rnacentral:rRNA from 1 species
AUUGAACGCUGGCGGCAUGCCUUACACAUGCAAGUCGAACGGCAGCACGGGUGCUUGCACCUGGUGGCGAGUGGCGAACGGGUGAGUAAUACAGCGGACCGUACCUUAUCGUGGGGGAUCACGCAGCGAAAGCUGUGCCAAUACCGCAUACGCCCUGAGGGGGAAAGCGGGGGAUCGCAAGAUCCUGCGCGAAUAGCACGGCCGAUGACUGAUUAGCUUGUUGGGGGGGUAAAAGCCCACCAAGGCGACGAUCAGUAGCUGGUCUGAGAGGACGAUCAGCCACACUGGAACUGAGACACGGCCCAGACUCCUACGGGGGGCAGCAGUGGGGAAUUUUGGACAAUGGGGGCAACCCUGAUCCAGCAAUGCCGCGUGAGUGAAGAAGGCCUUCGGGUUGUAAAGCUCUUUUGUCAGGGAAGAAACACCGGCUCUAACACAGUCCGGGAAUGACGGUACCUGAAGAAUAAGCACCGGCUAACUACGUGCCAGCCGCCGCGGUAA